rnacentral:rRNA from 1 species
GACGAACGCUGGCGGCGUGCUUAACACAUGCAAGUCGAACGAGUGGCGGACGGGUGAGUAAUGUCUGGGAAACUGCCCGAUGGAGGGGGAUAACUGCUGGAAACGGUAGAUAAUACCGCAUACCAUCGGAUGUGCCCAGAUGGGAUUAGCUAGUAGGUGUGGUAACGGCUCACCUAGGCGACGAUCCCUAGCUGGUCUGAGAGGAUGACCAGCCACACUGGAACUGAGACACGGUCCAGACUCCGACGGGAGGCAGCAGUGGGGAAUAUUGCACAAUGGGCGCAAGCCUGAUGCAGCCAUGCCGCGUGUGUGAAGAAGGCCUUCGGGUUGUAAAGUACUUUCAGCGAGGAGGCGUUACUCGCAGAAGAAGCAACGGCUAACUCCGUGCCAGCAGCCGCGGUAAUUC